rnacentral:rRNA from 1 species
AAUGAACGCUGGCGGCAGGCCUAACACAUGCAAGUCGAACGGAUCCUUCGGGAUUAGUGGCGGACGGGUGAGUAACGCGUGGGAACAUACCCUAUGGUUCGGAAUAGCCCCGGGAAACUGGGAGUAAUACCGGAUAAGCCCUUCGGGGAAAGAUUUAUCGCCAAAGGAUUGGCCCGCGUUGGAUUAGGUAGUUGGUGGGGUAAUGGCCUACCAAGCCGACGAUCCAUAGCUGGUUUGAGAGGAUGAUCAGCCACACUGGGACUGAGACACGGCCCAGACUCCUACGGGAGGCAGCAGUGGGGAAUCUUAGACAAUGGGGGAAACCCUGAUCUAGCCAUGCCGCGUGAUCGAUGAAGGCCUUAGGGUUGUAAAGAUCUUUCAGAUGGGAAGAUAAUGACGGUACCAUCAGAAGAAGCCCCGGCUAACUCCGUG